CUCUUUCUUUCUCUUCUCCUACAACCCCCCACCCCCCCCCCCCCCCCCCUCUGUGUGCGCUUUCGAUUUUCUCACUCUAGAUUCUCGCACUCUUCUCUCUCUCCUUCUAGGUUGAAAGGCGGCUCGAAAUCAUUAAUCAUCUCCUUGCGUGUGGUUGGAUCUGGACUUCAAUUCGAUCACUCUCUGUUAGAUAAGGUAAACCCUAGAAUUCGUACUCGAUUGGUUCGCCGGUGGGAUUUUCGGAAAAUCCCUCUUAUCUUUAUAGGGACAUGAUGCCCUGAAAGCGUUAUGUAUUGAUCUAGGGUUUCUCGGUAAGCGGAUAGCUUUGAAUUGGCUUUCCUCUGUCGAAUUAGGGUUAGGAUUGAUGGUACUCGUUCGGCGUGAAGGUGGGAUCGAAACUGGAAUUGGGGAAAAUGCAAGGCUAUGCAUGGGCGUCGAGGUGAGGACUGGAAACGGACUCGGCACAUGUGGACAGUCCACACACUUGGUACCCAGAUCGUAGAAGCAGAUGGUUCUUCAUCAUCGUCUUCGUCUGCACUUAAUUCGUUUUGCAAGGGUGGACGUAGAAUUAGUGUUGGUGAUUGUGCUCUUUUCAAACCCCCUCAAGAUUCCCCACCUUUUAUUGGCAUAAUCCGGUGGUUAACGGCUGGUAAGGAGAAUAAGUUAAAGUUAGGUGUGAAUUGGCUUUAUCGAUCUUCUGAACUAAAGCUCGGCAAAGGCAUCCUUUUGGAAGCUGCGCCGAACGAAGUCUUCUAUUCCUUUCAUAAGGAUGAAAUUCCUGCUGCAUCUUUACUCCAUCCGUGUAAAGUUGCAUUUCUUCCAAAGGACGUUAAACUUUCAUCAGGGAUCUCGUCAUUUGUGUGCCGGAGAGUGUAUGACAUAACAAAUAAGUGUUUAUGGUGGCUUACCGAUCAGGAUUAUAUUAAUGAACGUCAGGAAGAAGUAGAUCAAUUGCUAUAUAAGACAAGAUUAGAAAUGCAUGCUUCAGUGCAAUCCGGUGGCCGAUCACCUAAGCCUACAAGUGGUCCAACAUCAACAUCUCAGUUAAAAGCUAAUUCAGAUAGUGUUCAAACCACUGCCUUUCCUUCUCACACAAAAGGCAAGAAAAGAGAAAGAAGUGACCAGGGAUUAGAAUCUGUUAAACGUGAGCGCAUCAUCAAAGCUGAUGAAGGGGAUUCUGCUAACUGCAGAUUGGAAAAUACGUUAAAGUCUGAGAUUGCAAGAAUUGCUGAAAAAGGAGGCUUAGUUGAUUCUGAAGCUGUCGAGAAAUUGGUGCAGCUUUUGCUGACCGAUAGAAAUGACAAAAAAAUUGAUUGGGCUUGCAGAUCAACACUUGCAGGUGUGAUAGCUGCCACAGAUAAGGUCGAGUGCCUUAGUCAAUUUGUGCAUCUUAAGGGUUUACUUGUACUUGAUGAAUGGCUCCAAGAGGUUCACAGGGGGAAAAUUGGCAGUGGUGGUAGCCCCAAGGAUAGCGAUAAAGCAGUUGAGGAAUUUCUCCUGGUUUUGCUUCGAGCCCUUGAUAAACUACCUGUAAAUCUUCCUGCUUUACAGAUGUGCAAUAUUGGAAAGUCUGUGAAUCAUUUACGCUCACAUAAGAAUUUAGAAAUUCAGAAGAAAGCAAGGAGCUUAGUGGACACAUGGAAAAAACGCGUUGAAGCGGAAAUGAAUAUUAAUGAUGCAAAGUCUGGUUCAAACCAAGCUGUUGCAUGGAGUGCAAGGACUCGUCCAUCUGAAGUUUCUCAUGGAGGGAGGAAUCAAGAUGCAUCCUCUGAAGUUGCCAUGAAGAGCUCGGUUUCUCAGCUCACUACAUCCAAGUCUGUUUCAGUUAAGCUAGCUCAGGAUGAGAGUAUUACAAGAUCUGCAUCUGCCUCUCCUGGUUCGAUGAAACCAGUUUUAUCACCUGCAUCAGCAAGCAUUAACUCGAAAGAUGGAUCUUCCAGAAAUCCUGGUGUUUGUGGCACUACUGAUCUUGCUCAAACUAUUGCCAAGGAUGAAAAGAGUAGCAGUUCUAGCCAGUCCCACAAUAAUAGUCAAUCUUGUUCUAGUGAACACGGUAAAAGUGGUGGCUUAGGGAAGGAGGAUGCAAGAAGCUCUACUGCUGGUUCAAUGAGCGUGAACAAGAUCUCAGGUGGUGGAUCUCGCCAGCGCAAGUCAGUUAAUGGAUUUCCUGGUUCUGUUCUCUCGGGGGCUCAACGAGAUGUAGGAUCGGGGAAAAGUUCUUUGCAUAGAAACACAGUCUUAGAGAGAUCAUCACAAUCUGGAAUGACCUUUGAAAAGGCAUGUGAUGGACCUAUUGUUGAGGGAAACAGUCCUAAAUUGAUAGUGAAGAUCACCAAUCGUGGCCGGAGUCCUGCCCAGAGUGCUAGUGGAGGAUCUUCUGAAGAUCCUUCGAUAAUGAAUACCAGGGCUUCUUCUCCUCCACUUUCAGAGAAGCUUGAUCAAUUUGAUCACAGUAAGAGUGAUACAUGUCAACCUAAUAUUACUGGAGAUGUGAAUGCUGAGCCCUGGCAGAAUAGUGAUGUAAAGGAUAUGGUGACUGGGGCUGAUGAUGUUGAUGGAUCUCCUGCUGCUGUAAAUGGUGAAGAGCGAUGUAGGACUGCUGAGGAUGUUAAAGUUUCAAAGGCAAAUUCGUCAUCAUUAGCAAAUGAUCAAAAGAAUGGGAAGUUACAUGAGGCUUCUUUUAGCUCUAUGAAUGCUUUAAUUGAGAGUUGUAUUAAAUGCUCUGAAGCGAGUAUGCCUACCUCUCUCACAGAUAAUGUUGGAAUGAAUUUACUUGCUAGUGUGGCAGCUGUUGAGAUGUCAAAGUCUGAUUUUGUUCUGCCUUCCGAUACUCAAGGAAAUAUCACUACAGUUGACCGAAGAGGCAGUGAUUGUAAAGUCAAAGCAUCUUGUCCUGAAGAGGAUGCUAGAGAUAACAUGCAGUUAAAUGAUGCUAUGGUUGUUAAUGAGCAGGGCGUGAUCAUUGGUUCCUUUGGAGCUAAUGGGGAUGGAAGCUCUGCUUCAAAUUCUGAAGAGAAACCUAUUGGAGAUCUAAAUGGUCAUUCAAAAUCUUCUGGUGUAAAUUUGCAACUAACGGCUGUGCCACAGGCAGACGGAUGUAUAAAAAUGGACGAGUCUGGAGGUCCUGCCUCUCCUGCUAGGAUACCAGAGAAGGGCUCUGAGAUUGAUGGGGCUAAUCCAGUCAAGGACAGAAAGACAUCUGAUGUAGUAGAUGAGGAUAGCAGUCCAGAAUCAAGACCAAAGCCAAGCAGUUCUUUUCCUGAUGGUGGCAUGGUCGUUGAUGGUAUCUCGAAUCGGGAAGUUGAAAUGAAUGUUGUUGACAAGCCUUUGCAUCGGUUCCAAGAAGCUGAUGACAAUAAAGAUAAUAGAAUGAAUGGUGUUAGUACAGCAGACCAAAGGCCAUCAUCAAAGUCGAACAGUGAUUCUGCUAAAUUGAAGAAUGAUGAAUUAUUUCAGGCUUCAGGCUCUUCAAGUGAUCUGGUUUCUAUAAAUGCAAGUGGGAUGAAGGGCGAGAAGGAUGAUGAAACCAAUGAAUCAGCUGAUGUCAAACAACUUGAAAAACAUCAAAGUGAUCGAGACUCUAUGCCUUCUGAGUCCCGAGAUUUAGGUGGUUUGUGUUCAGCUAUCAACCAUGAGGACGAGCAUGCAGAGGAGAAUUUGGAAUGUAACAAGGAUAAUGAGAAAAGUGGAGUACAAACACAUCAUGGACAAUCUAUUAUGUCUCCUGUUCAAGAAACUGAACAGCAUCUGUCAUCCAAGAGAUCCAAAUUAGCUAGUGUAGAAGCAGAAGAGGCAGAGGAGUCUACAUCUACUGAUGCAGAUCCUGGUUCCAUGACUGCUGCGGGGGUAUCAGAUAUGGAUGCUAAGUUGGAAUUUGAUUUGAAUGAAGGCUUUAAUGUGGAUGAUGGAAAAUGCAGUGAGCCAAGUAGCUUUACAACGUCUGGUUGUUUGACAACUGUUCAGUUAAUUAGUCCGUUGCCCCUUCCUGUAUCUAAUGUGGUAAGCAACAUUCCUGCUUCAAUUACAGUUGCAGCUGCAGCAAAAAGACCUUUCGUUCCACCUGAUGAUCUAUUGAGGAGCAAAGGGGAACUUGGUUGGAAAGGAUCAGCUGCCACAAGUGCUUUUCGACCUGCUGAACCUAGAAAAGUUCUAGAAAUGCCACUAGGUGUUGCAACCACUCCACUUGCUGAUGCUGUGGCUAAUAAAAUUUCUCGACCUCCGUUGGAUAUUGAUUUGAAUGUGCCUGAUGAAAGGAUUCUUGAGGAUAUGAAUGUCCAGAUGUCUACUCAGGAUGUGGCCUCUAAGUCUGACCUGGCUAAUAAUCGUGAUCUGACACAUGGUAUUGGUGUCUCACAUGCACGUUGCUCUGGAGGACUAGAUCUUGACUUGAACCGAAUUGAUGAUGCUCCCGAUCCAAGCAACUUCUCCUUGAACAACUGUCGUAGAAUAGAUGCUCCUCUUAAUGUUAAAUCAUCUACUGUUCCUCUCAAUGACAAGGUGAAUUUUCGUAGGGACUUUGAUUUAAAUGGACCUAUUGUUGAUGAGACCCCUACUGAACCAUCAAUAUUUCCUCAGCAUGCUAGAGGCAGUAUGCCAUCCCAGCCUUCUGUCUCAGGUCUUUGGAUGAACAGUGCAGAAAUGGGAAAUUUUCCAUCAUGGUUUCCUCCAGGGAAUGCUUAUUCAGCUGUUGCAAUUCCAUCGAUUUUGCCUGAUAGAGCAGAACAGCCUUUUCCAGUUGUUGCAACAAAUGGACCACCCAGGAUUUUGGGACCCACAAGUGGUAGCAGUCCAUAUAACCCUGAUGUCUUUAGAGGGCCAGUAUUAUCAUCUUCUCCGGCUGUGCCAUUUCCUUCUGCAGCUUUUCAGUAUCCUGUCCUGUCUUUUGGAAACGGCUUUCCUCUACCGUCAGCCACGUUUUCAGGUAAUGCAACAGCAUAUGGUGAUUCAUCAUCUGGUAGCAGGCUUUGCUUCCCUGCAGUCCCCUCACAGUUCCUAGGUCCUCCUGGUACAGUAUCAACCCCUUAUCCAAGACCUUAUGUUGUUAGUCACUCAGAUGGCGGCCACAAUACUAGUUCUGAUGGUAGUAGAAAGUGGGGAAGACAAGGUUUAGAUCUAAAUGCUGGACCUGUAGUUGCAAACAUUGAAGGAAGAGAGGAAUCAUCAUCCUUUGUACCCAGGCAACUAUCUGUUGCCAGUUCGCAGGCCACUACCGAGGAGCAUAUGCGGGUUUACCAGCCAACAAUUGGCAUAAUGAAGAGAAAGGAACCAGAGGGAGGAUGGGAUGGGUACAAACAGUCGUCAUGGUAGUAUAACAUCCUGUGGAGUCCUGAAAGCUGUGCUGUGAGGAUUGGCAUUGAGCUGACUUCCACUGGCUGUCAUCUAACUUUGUGUGCUUUUCGGAGGAGGUGGUGAGUAGUAUCUCAUGUUCUUCAUGGUCUCAAAUCCCACACCUUUUCUCUGUAUCAGUUGUAACUUAAAAAAAGAAUGUCUGGGGCCUUCAAGCUUCUUGUCACUUGAAUUUGUUCUGGGUGGCUGCAGAUAAUUUCUUCUUUGUAGAUAUUUAACUGUGGAAAGCAUGCACUAUCUGUUCCCCAGACACUUGAUAGUUGGUGCCGAUACAGGAUCAAAGCAAGAGGGUGCAUCUGAUAAUGACGCAUGCAUUUCAGUUCAUUUAAGUUGCCUCCCCUCUCUCUCUCUCAUUUCUACAUUCUGUCUUGCAAAAUAAUCUGUGUUCCUCAUUUUUCAUGCUGGAAUCACCCUUGAUUUUACAUGGAGUUUCUGUAGUUA